GGUGAACGCUGGCGGCGUGCCUAACACAUGCAAGUCGAGCGGUGCAGUUUGAAGCUUCGGUGGAAAGCUGCAUAGCGGCGGACGGGUGAGGAAAACGUAGGAACGUGCCCCUUGGAGUUGGAUAGCCACGGGAAACUGUGGGUAAACCGACAUAGACUCGAGAGAGUAAAGGCCGAAAGGCGCCAAGGGAGCGGCCUGCGGCCCAUCAGGUAGUUGGUAGUGUAAAGGACUACCAAGCCGACGACGGGUAGCCGGUCUGAGAGGAUGGCCGGCCACAAGGGCACUGAGAGACGGGCCCUACUCCUACGGGAGGCAGCAGUGGGGGAUUUUGGACAAUGGGCGAAAGCCUGAUCCAGCGACGCCGCGUGGAGGACGAAGCCCUUCGGGUGUAAACUCCUUUUCUCAGGAAAAGGAUGAUGGUACCUGAGGAAUAAGCCCGGCUAACUACGUG
rnacentral:rRNA from 1 species